rnacentral:rRNA from 1 species
AUUACCCAAUCCCGAUUCGGGGAGGUAGUGACAAUAAAUAACAAUACAGGGCCAACGGUCUUGUUAUUGGAAUGAGAACAAUUUAAAUAACUUAACGAGGAUCAAUUAGAGGGCAAGUCUGGUGCCAGCAGCCGCGGUAAUUCCAGCUCUAAUAGCGUAUAUUAAAGUUGUUGCAGUUAAAAAGCUCGUAGUCGGGUGUCGGGCUCGGGCAAGCUGUCGGCCUCUGGUCGGACGGCAGGCUCGGGUCUUUCUGCCUGAGGAACCCGGUUGCUUUCGGGCUGCCGGUGGACGCAGGUCGUUUACUUUGAAAAAAUUAGAGUGUUCAAAGCAGGCUAGCGCUUGAAUACAUUAGCAUGGAAUAAUGGAAUAGGACUUUGGUGCUAUUUUGUUGGUUUAUGGGACCGAAGUAAUGAUUAACAGGGACAGUUGGGGCCGUUUAUAUUUCGUUGUCAGAGGUGAAAUUCUUGGAUUUACAAAGAUAAACUUCUGCGAAAGCAUUCGGCAAGGAUGUUUUCAUUGAUCAAGAACGAAAGUUAGGGG